rnacentral:rRNA from 1 species
AGCGAACGCUGGCGGCAGGCCUAACACAUGCAAGUCGAACGAAGUCUUCGGACUUAGUGGCGGACGGGUGAGUAACACGUGGGAACGUGCCCUUUGGUACGGAAUAACUCAGGGAAACUUGAGCUAAUACCGUAUGUGCCCUUCGGGGGAAAGAUUUAUCGCCUUUAGAGCGGCCCGCGUCUGAUUAGCUAGUUGGUGAGGUAAUGGCUCACCAAGGCGACGAUCAGUAGCUGGUCUGAGAGGAUGACCAGCCACAUUGGGACUGAGACACGGCCCAAACUCCUACGGGAGGCAGCAGUGGGGAAUCUUGCGCAAUGGGCGAAAGCCUGACGCAGCCAUGCCGCGUGGAUGAUGAAGGUCUUAGGAUUGUAAAAUCCUUUCACCGGUGAAGAUAACGACUGUAGCCGGAGAAGAAGCCCCGGCUAACUUCGUGCCAGCCGCCGCGGUAAAAC